GCCUCCUCUUCACCCCCAACCCUAAUCCCUAAUCAUUGUCUCCUCUUCACCCAAACCCUAACCUCUUUCGCCGACGUUCUCAUCGCCGAGGUCAAGCGUGUCGAGGUCCUUGAUCCCGACACCAUCACUCCACACGUCGCUGGCCCCGUGAGCCCGACGCCAUCACUCUGCACGAUCUCAAGAUUCACCGCCCGCCCCAACGCUCGAUCCGUUCACUGUUUCCAAGGCUUCUUGGCUUUGUUUUGCUCUUCACUUAGACACAAGAGGACAUAAGAGAACUGGGAGAUGGUGAUCAAUCUGGUACGGGAUAUGUGUGUAAUACCUAUUUUGGAGGAACAUCUCACUCUCUGGAUAUAGCAAAGAUAUUCAACUUCUCUAGUGAAUUUGACAGCAGGAGAGUAUAUGCCUUGGAUGUGGUUGGUAAAAUACCAGAGGAGCUGCAGAACUUGACAUAUAUAUCUCACUUUCCUGUAUGGUAGCCUACGGUUUUGCAACAUAAUUUUUAAUUUAUAUGAUAAUUUUUUUGUGCCCCUCAUCCUUGAAAUUACUACUCAAGUUGAUAAAACAGAGAACCACCCAAAUCUUUUAUGGAAAGCUUUUUGAUUUUCAAAUAGAUAUUGUUGUCUGUAAAUGAAAUCAACUAUACAUGUCCAUGUUUUACAUACCUAUCUUAGACAAAUAA